CAUGUUUAAUGUUAGCAUGAAUCUGGUAUGUCUUCCUUGCCACAUCCUCUUUCUUUUCCCUUUCCUCCUUAGGCAGAAUUUCAGAAUUGGGAAAAUCAAAGAGGAGAUAAAUCACAGAAUGACCAUAUGACCAGGAUUUCCAGAUGCCUGAGGAAUUCGCUGUACCAGAAGAUUACUACAGUGUUUUCUGCAAAUCUAAAGCACUUCAAAUUACUUCACACAGUCCUGUUCUCCACUCCAAUGAAAUUAAGCCUCAUGUUCUCAUGCCAAGGAAUAAGUCCAGUGGAUUCUUUAAGACCUUUUUGGGCAAAUCACAGCCAUGCUUCAUCUCAAGCAGAGCACAUAAUGACUUAAAAGUAUUCCAUCACCUUUGGUAUUUCAGCAGCCUCUCCAGGUUUGCUGCUUUGACCACAUCUCAUGGCUGCUCUAAAAGGAGAUGUGCCCAUCCCAAGAAGAAAAAAAAAAAAAAAAAAAAGAAAGAAAAGAAAGUAACAAUAGCUUUUAUAGAAAGAAAAUGACUUGUUUCCUGAUACGCUUUUGUUCUGUCAUUGUAACAGUACUUGAGAGCACAUGGAGCAUGCGCAGAACUUGUGAAGGCCUUCAUGCAUCAGGUAGAGGAACAAUGAAUUGCUCACUAAAGUAGUUUUGUCUAUUUAUUUACUGUAGAGCUAGCUCCUAAAGUACAACCCUUAAUGACAUACCGUGACAAUACCACACCAUAUCCAACCUUCACCCUCUCUUCAGAGCAGCAUAUUCUUCAUAUUUCUGUUUGAACAUUUAUAUAUUUCCCACAGAACAUGUGAGAAGACAGACAAAGUUUCCAGUACUUCAGCUUACCAAAAUACUAAAUCCUAUUAGGACAGGUUUCUCACUCCUCAUUUUAGCAAGCAUAGUGGUGUGCACAAUACAGGUGAAGAAUAUACGUAGCAUGAAGCACAUGAAGCAGCCAGUUGAGAUUAAAAGCGAACAAAACUAUGGGUUUACUUGAUUUCAGAUGUUCUCUUGACAGUAAACACUUGUUCCUGUUGACAUGGAUUUCAAAAGUCUAUUAAUUAAUAUGGCUUUUCUUUUUUCUUUUUUUUUUUUUCUUUCCCUAUAACCUAGUUUUCUAGUGCAAACAUUUCUGAAGGGAAAAGCCAGAGGCUGCACCAAAGUUCUUUGGGAAUUUGUCACUGGAUUAAAAUUCACCUUUAAGUAAAUAAGGCACAUCCUCAGAGAAUUACAUUUUGUAACAUAGUGCAUUUCCUUUAUGCCUUUGAUACUGAUGGCAAAGAGCUUCCUAUUUUGACUGACUUAGUGAGUACUUGUGUAUGUGAC
ensembl:lncRNA